rnacentral:misc_RNA from 1 species
GAUGAAGAACGCAGCGAAAUGCGAUAAGUAAUGUGAAUUGCAGAAUUCCGUGAAUCAUCGAAUCUUUGAACGCAUAUUGCGCCCUCUGGCAUUCCGGGGGGCAUGCCUGUCUGAGCGUCAUUUCAACCCUCAUGCCCCUAGGGCGUGGUGUUGGGGAUCGGCCAAAGCCCGCGAGGGACGGCCGGCCCCUAAAUCUAGUGGCGGACCCGUCGUGGCCUCCUCUGCGAAGUAGUGAUAUUCCGCAUCGGAGAGCGAUGAGCCCCUGCCGUUAAACCCCCAACUUUCCAAGGUUGACCUCAGAUCAGGUAGGAAUACCCGCUGAACUUAAGCAUAUCAAUAAGCGGAGGA